AACGAACGCUGGCGGCAUGCCUAACACAUGCAAGUCGAACGAGACCUUCGGGUCUAGUGGCGCACGGGUGCGUAACGCGUGGGAACCUGCCCUUAGGUUCGGAAUAACUCCCCGAAAGGGGUGCUAAUACCGGAUAAUGUCUUCGGGCCAAAGAUUUAUCGCCUUUGGAUGGGCCCGCGUUGGAUUAGCUAGUUGGUAGGGUAAAAGCCUACCAAGGCGACGAUCCAUAGCUGGUCUGAGAGGAUGAUCAGCCACACUGGGACUGAGACACGGCCCAGACUCCUACGGGAGGCAGCAGUGGGGAAUAUUGGACAAUGGGCGAAAGCCUGAUCCAGCAAUGCCGCGUGAGUGAUGAAGGCCUUAGGGUUGUAAAGCUCUUUUACCCGGGAUGAUAAUGACAGUACCGGGAGAAUAAGCUCCGGCUAACUCCGU
rnacentral:rRNA from 1 species